rnacentral:tRNA from 1 species
GGCCCCGUAGUGUAGCGGUUUAACACGCCACCCUGUCACGGUGGAGACCGUCGGUUCGAAUCCGAUCGGGGUCGCCA